AUGGUGCCGACCUCGGACCAAAUUUGGACCAAUUAUCUCCAAAUUUAGCAGCAAUUUACUUUGUUUGACUUAUUAUAGAUGGAGGAUACUGUAUGUUUCAUAUCAAUUCUUCUCUAUUUAGACCCACAUUUUAAUACAGUAUGUGAUUGACAACCAAGUCUUGCCAUGCCUGUAUCAAUUGUUAACUCAAAAUCACAAGAAAAGCAUCAAGAAGGAAGGAUGUUGGACAAUCUCUAAUAUUAUUGCUUGAAACAGAGCUCAAAUACAGUUACUCGGAGGAAUAUGAUAGAGCCUUUCUGCAAUUUACGGAAGUGUUGGAAAUCUUUCCUGAAUUGGAAGCAGGGUGACCAAGAUGCAUUGGCAUUAUGUGCUUUGCUCACACCACUUCAGAAGACCAAGAAUAUUGUUCUUCAACAUUGCUAAAAGAUCACUUACCUGGAAUUACUCUUGCUGUGAUAGUGCAAAAGAAAAGAGUAUCGAGAAGACCAAGAGAAACCGAGUUAGUGAGUUUUUCAGUUCAAGA